UACGGAGAGAGCUAGCGUUGUUCGGAAUUACUGGGCGUAAAGCGCGCGUAGGCGGCUAUUCAAGUCAGAGGUGAAAGCCCGGGGCUCAACCCCGGAACUGCCUUUGAAACUAGGUAGCUAGAAUCUUGGAGAGGCGAGUGGAAUUCCGAGUGUAGAGGUGAAAUUCGUAGAUAUUCGGAAGAACACCAGUGGCGAAGGCGACUCGCUGGACAAGUAUUGACGCUGAGGUGCGAAAGCGUGGGGAGCAAACAGG
rnacentral:rRNA from 1 species